rnacentral:rRNA from 1 species
UUUGGGAAGGUAAAAAUCGUAACAAGGUUUCCGUAGGUGAACCUGCGGAAGGAUCAUUG